rnacentral:rRNA from 1 species
GAUGAACGCUGGCGGCGUGCCUAAUACAUGCAAGUCGAGCGAACAGAUGAGGAGCUUGCUCCUCUGACGUUAGCGGCGGACGGGUGAGUAACACGUGGAUAACCUACCUAUAAGACUGGGAUAACUUCGGGAAACCGGAGCUAAUACCGGAUAAUAUAUUGAACCGCAUGGUUCAAUAGUGAAAGACGGUUUUGCUGUCACUUAUAGAUGGAUCCGCGCCGCAUUAGCUAGUUGGUAAGGUAACGGCUUACCAAGGCAACGAUGCGUAGCCGACCUGAGAGGGUGAUCGGCCACACUGGAACUGAGACACGUUCCAGACUCCGACGGGAGGCAGCAGUAGGGAAUCUUCCGCAAUGGGCGAAAGCCUGACGGAGCAACGCCGCGUGAGUGAUGAAGGUCUUCGGAUCGUAAAACUCUGUUAUUAGGGAAGAACAAAUGUGUAAGUAACUAUGCACGUCUUGACGGUACCUAAUCAGAAAGCCACGGCUAACUACGUG